GGGGGGAGGCCGGAUCCUGGGCUGUGUCCGGGCGCCCUGUGCUCCCGGGGCCUGCACUGUUGGAUUCGCGCUCCCGGGCUGCGCAACCCUCU
rfam:Canis lupus familiaris chromosome 12, whole genome shotgun sequence.